AUGCUAUACAUGCAGUCGAGCGGACAGAAGGGAGCUUGCUCCCGGAUGUUAGCGGCGGACGGGUGAGUAACACGUGGGUAACCUGCCUGUAAGACUGGGAUAACUCCGGGAAACCGGAGCUAAUACCGGAUAGUUCCUUGAACCGCAUGGUUCAAGGAUGAAAGACGGUUUCGGCUGUCACUUACAGAUGGACCCGCGGCGCAUUAGCUAGUUGGUGGGGUAAUGGCUCACCAAGGCGACGAUGCGUAGCCGACCUGAGAGGGUGAUCGGCCACACUGGGACUGAGACACGGCCCAGACUCCUACGGGAGGCAGCAGUAGGGAAUCUUCCGCAAUGGACGAAAGUCUGACGGAGCAACGCCGCGUGAGUGAUGAAGGUUUUCGGAUCGUAAAGCUCUGUUGUUAGGGAAGAACAAGUGCGAGAGUAACUGCUCGCACCUUGACGGUACCUAACCAGAAAGCCACGGCUAACUACGUGCCAGCAGCCGCGGUAAUACGUAGGUGGCAAGCGUUGUCCGGAAUUAUUGGGCGUAAAGGGCUCGCAGGCGGUUUCUUAAGUCUGAUGUGAAAGCCCCCGGCUCAACCGGGGAGGGUCAUUGGAAACUGGGAAACUUGAGUGCAGAAGAGGAGAGUGGAAUUCCACGUGUAGCGGUGAAAUGCGUAGAGAUGUGGAGGAACACCAGUGGCGAAGGCGACUCUCUGGUCUGUAACUGACGCUGAGGAGCGAAAGCGUGGGGAGCGAACAGGAUUAGAUACCCUGGUAGUCCACGCCGUAAACGAUGAGUGCUAAGUGUUAGGGGGUUUCCGCCCCUUAGUGCUGCAGCUAACGCAUUAAGCACUCCGCCUGGGGAGUACGGUCGCAAGACUGAAACUCAAAGGAAUUGACGGGGGCCCGCACAAGCGGUGGAGCAUGUGGUUUAAUUCGAAGCAACGCGAAGAACCUUACCAGGUCUUGACAUCCUCUGACAACCCUAGAGAUAGGGCUUUCCCUUCGGGGACAGAGUGACAGGUGGUGCAUGGUUGUCGUCAGCUCGUGUCGUGAGAUGUUGGGUUAAGUCCCGCAACGAGCGCAACCCUUGAUCUUAGUUGCCAGCAUUUAGUUGGGCACUCUAAGGUGACUGCCGGUGACAAACCGGAAGAAAGGUGGGGAUGACGUCAAAUCAUCAUGCCCCUUAUGACCUGGGCUACACACGUGCUACAAUGG
rnacentral:rRNA from 1 species